AGGCUAAUUAACCCACGCGGUACCGACGUUGCCAAAUGUUGAUAUCUUCAUCCUUCUGUCAAAGUCACAGGCAAUGUGAGGUUAUGAGUUAUUUGUUGUUGUUUUCUUGUCACAGAGCACAGUACAUGACAGAAGUCACAGAGCUAGCAAAAUGUUAAGAUGAUUUUAUUUUUAUUGUGGAAUUGGAAGAAGGAAAUAUAACGCAAACAUCUAGGAGAUUUUUGAUGAGAUGCCAAUCCUGCGUUCUUAGAAAAAAGCCAGUCCCAGAAGGAAACUACCAAUAAUAAAGUAGAGAAUUUAUUACACCAAAGAACAAAGCUAAUACUCAACAUAGAUCAACUGAUCCACAUAGAAAUGGAGGAACAAAGGGCACAACAGAAGCAGGCCAGACAAAAGAAAAUGACAGAAGAGAGACACAGAAAAGAAAUUAAUUUAUUAAAUUUAAAAAUUAAAUUAUGCAAAGGACAAUUAAAUAAAGAAUAAAAAAAUCAAACAUGUA